rnacentral:tRNA from 1 species
CGGGGUGUGGCUCAGCCUGGUAGAGCACCUGCAUGGGGUGCAGGGGGUCGCGAGUUCGAAUCCCGCCACCCCGA